GAUGAACGCUAGCGGCAGGCUUAAUACAUGCAAGUCGAGGGGCAGCAGGGUGUAGCAAUACACUGCUGGCGACCGGCAAACGGGUGCGGAACACGUACGCAACCUUCCUUCAAGUGGGGAAUAGCCCAGGGAAACUUGGAUUAAUACCUCGUAACAUUGUGAGAUGGCAUCAUUUUACAAUUAUAGUUCCGACGCUUGAAGACGGGCGUGCGCCUGAUUAGGUAGUUGGC
rnacentral:rRNA from 1 species